rnacentral:tRNA from 1 species
GGUAUUAUAGCUCAGUGGUAUAGCACAUGCUUAGCACACUUGAAGGCCUGGAUUCAAUCCCCAGUACCA